rnacentral:rRNA from 1 species
GACGAACGCUGGCGGCGUGCUUAACACAUGCAAGUCGAACGGAAAGGCCCUGCUUUUGUGGGGUGCUCGAGUGGCGAACGGGUGAGUAACACGUGAGUAACCUGCCCUUGACUUUGGGAUAACUUCAGGAAACUGGGGCUAAUACCGGAUAGGAGCUCCUGCUGCUUGGUGGGGGUUGGAAAGUUUCGGCGGUUGGGGAUGGACUCGCGGCUUAUCAGCUUGUUGGUGGGGUAGUGGCUUACCAAGGCUUUGACGGGUAGCCGGCCUGAGAGGGUGACCGGCCACAUUGGGACUGAGAUACGGCCCAGACUCCUACGGGAGGCAGCAGUGGGGAAUAUUGCACAAUGGGCGGAAGCCUGAUGCAGCAACGCCGCGUGCGGGAUGACGGCCUUCGGGUUGUAAACCGCUUUCGCCUGUGACGAAGCGUGAGUGACGGUAAUGGGUAAAGAAGCACCGGCUAACUACGUGCCAGCAGCCGCGGUGGUACGUAGGGUGCGAGCGUUGUCCGGAUUUAUUGGGCGUAAAGGGCUCGUAGGUGGUUGAUCGCGUCGGAAGUGUAAUCUUGGGGCUUAACCCUGAGCGUGCUUUCGAUACGGGUUGACUUGAGGAAGGUAGGGGAGAAUGGAAUUCCUGGUGGAGCGGUGGAAUGCGCAGAUAUCAGGAGGAACACCAGUGGCGAAGGCGGUUCUCUGGGCCUUUCCUGACGCUGAGGAGCGAAAGCGUGGGGAGCGAACAGGCUUAGAUACCCUGGUAGUCCACGCUGUAAACGGUGGGUACUAGGUGUGGGGUCCAUUCCACGGGUUCCGUGCCGUAGCUAACGCUUUAAGUACCCCGCCUGGGGAGUACGGCCGCAAGGCUAAAACUCAAAGGAAUUGACGGGGCCCCGCACAAGCGGCGGAGCAUGCGGAUUAAUUCGAUGCAACGCGUAGAACCUUACCUGGGUUUGACAUGGAUCGGGAGUGCUCAGAGAUGGGUGUGCCUCUUUUGGGGUCGGUUCACAGGUGGUGCAUGGCUGUCGUCAGCUCGUGUCGUGAGAUGUUGGGUUAAGUCCCGCAACGAGCGCAACCCUUGUUCACUGUUGCCAGCACGUUAUGGUGGGGACUCAGUGGAGACCGCCGGGGUCAACUCGGAGGAAGGUGGGGAUGACGUCAAGUCAUCAUGCCCCUUAUGUCCAGGGCUUCACGCAUGCUACAAUGGCUGGUACAGAGAGUGGCGAGCCUGUGAGGGUGAGCGAAUCUCGGAAAGCCGGUCUCAGUUCGGAUUGGGGUCUGCAACUCGACCUCAUGAAGUCGGAGUCGCUAGUAAUCGCAGAUCAGCAACGCUGCGGUGAAUACGUUCCCGGG